rnacentral:misc_RNA from 1 species
UCCGAGUUGACCCCGGCAGUCUCCUAUGAGUCCCCACCAUAACGUGCUGGCAACAUAGGACGAGGGUUGCGCUCGUUGCGGGACUUAACCCAACAUCUCACGACACGAGCUGAAGACAGCCAUGCAGCACCUGUGUUACGGUUCUCUUUCGAGCACUCCCUGAUCUCUCAAGGAUUCCGUACAUGUCAAGGGUAGGUAAGGUUUUUCGCGUUGCAUCGAAUUAAUCCACAUCAUCCACCGCUUGUGCGGGUCCCCGUCAAUUCCUUUGAGUUUUAAUCUUGCGACCGUACUCCCCAGGCGGAGAACUUAAUGCGUUAGCUUCGCCACCAAAGCUCCAAGAGCCCUGACAGCUAGUUCUCAUCGUUUACGGUGUGGACUAC